AUUGAACGCUGGCGGCAGGCCUAACACAUGCAAGUCGAGCGGAUGAAGGGAGCUUGCUCCUGGAUUCAGCGGCGGACGGGUGAGUAAUGCCUAGGAAUCUGCCUGGUAGUGGGGGAUAACGUCCGGAAACGGGCGCUAAUACCGCAUACGUCCUGAGGGAGAAAGUGGGGGAUCUUCGGACCUCACGCUAUCAGAUGAGCCUAGGUCGGAUUAGCUAGUUGGUGGGGUAAAGGCCUACCAAGGCGACGAUCCGUAACUGGUCUGCGAGGAUGAUCAGUCACACUGGAACUGAGACACGGUCCAGACUCCUACGGGAGGCAGCAGUGGGGAAUAUUGGACACUGGGCGAAAGCCUGAUCCAGCCAUGCCGCGUGUGUGAAGAAGGUCUUCGGAUUGUAAAGCACUUUAAGUUGGGAGGAAGGGCAGUAAGUUAAUACCUUGCUGUUUUGACGUUACCAACAGAAUAAGCACCGGCUAACUUCGUG
rnacentral:rRNA from 1 species